rnacentral:lncRNA from 1 species
CCUUCAGCACCUCGGUGCAGGUCAACAAAGGCAUGCAGAUCAGUUGCCACAACACAACGUGCCGGGUGUUUUGCUCACUACCUGCAGAAACUGCCUUGCUCAACAGAGACACACUCAGAGCUUCGCGUCACUUGAGCAAGACUGGAAGCCCCUGAAGGCUGGUUCUAUCCUUUUCCAUAUGCCACCCACUCCCCAGGGCUGUGCUCAGUAACCGGUCAGAGACUGACAUCCUGCAGUGGGAGUCCAGGAUGAAUGUAAUGAAAGUUCCCAAGUUGCCAGCUUCUUACUGAAUCUGCAACAAAGGAAAAGAUCUUCCUUCACAGACUAUAAAAGCAUCCGUGGUAACAUGAGGAAGAAAGGCUAUCAGUGGGGUCUGCGUUACUCUGCCACGGCUGCCACAACAAAGUACCACACACUGAGGGGCUGAAACAACAGAAAUGGAGCAUCUCAUAGUUCUCUAAGCGCCUGGCAUCUGUAAUGGUAUUUGAGAUUUUUAACAAGCUUAAUUGAAUUGAGUGGAGCCACGGUUCUCACACGUGGUUCAUGUUCCUGCAGCAUCGCUUUUUAGGGAAUUGGUUGGAAAUGCGAAUUCUCGGACCCCUCCCCAAGCCUGCCUGAACCAGAAACUCUGGGGUGGAGCCCACAAUCUGCUUUAAUGAGCGAUUCCAGGUGAUUCUGAUGUGGGCUUAAGUGUGACAGCCCCUGGAUCAGAGCUACAUGAACCUACAAAUUGGCUGAGUUGGAGUGGGCAGAUGUAGCUUUCAUCAGUCCUGGAUAGACUUCACGGUGGCUCGCCCAAUGGGACAUGCAGAAUAUCUGGCUGUGGUCUUCGGUACCCAUCCACCAGGAAGCAGGUGUGGCAAAUGUUGCUGGUGGGAUGCAGCCCUGGAGAAAGUAUUCACCUUUGUAAGGAAAUAAUUCCCAGCCCUGGGAGCAGCUGGAUCGUACAGCAGUGAGGCCUUUUCACAGUGCGGCAGAGCCCUCCUGGGAGUGCCCAGCACCUCCUCCAAGCAGCACUCAGGCUCUGGCUAGAGCUCUUGUGGGCUGGGCAAAGGGGACAUGAGUGCCACGCUGUCUGGGAACAGUGUUGCUUGUCCCUGUCCAAUGGGGAAAGAAGAGCUGGUCUCAGACAUCAAGAGGGGUGUCACAAACCCCUAAGAGAGGUGUUCAGUUCCCUCUGAAACAGGUUUCCAGUCAUUAUGUAUUCAGUUCUGAAAACAUCAACUUCUCUCAACAUUUCUCCUGAGCACGCGGAGCCAGGAAAAUGUGAAGCUACUUGAAUCCCCUCUCCAUGGCCAGGAAUGGAUCAUCGUAAGGUGCUGGCCAGUGAAGUGUACUCCGGUUUCUCUCUUCUCUCUCCUGGGUGAGCCUCUCGUGACAUGGUCCCAGCGAUCACCUCUGAGCAACGCCUUGCAGAACAGUGGUGCUGCCCUGAGCCAGCUCUGGUCCCGAAUUUCUUACUGCUUUGAUUCAAGAGGGUUGACUAGUUCCUUUCAGAUCUGACUUUCCUAAAAUGGGAGCCCUAUUUUGAUUUCUUCGUUUCCGUCCCAUGGCUGACAGUGCUCGGUCAGCUGGCCUGCAAAGCACAUGCUGUCCCUCAUUGUUCCCU